UACGUAGGUGGCAAGCGUUGUCCGGAUUUACUGGGCGUAAAGGGCGCGUAGGCGGUGCACUAAGUCAGGCGUGAAAGCCCUGGGCUCAACCCGGGAAUUGCGCUUGAUACAGGUGCGCUUGAAUCCAGGAGAGGUUGGUGGAAUUCCCAGUGUAGAGGUGAAAUUCGUAGAGAUUGGGAAGAACCCCGGGGGCGAAGGCGGCCAACGGGACUGGUAUUGACGCGGAGGCGCGAAAGCGUGGGAGCAAACAGG
rnacentral:rRNA from 1 species